AUAAACUCUCUCAACCAUACGCUUGAAUAGAGUAGUUACUAGUCAUUACUCAUUAAGUACAGUACCAACUCCAUAUCCACACAAAUUUGCAGUACAAAAACAUUCCGUCAUUCAAAUCAAUCUUUCACUUGGCUUUGUUUAUUCCUAAUUCUUCACCACUCCCGCCAUUGAAAUUUAUACUAUAUCUUCAGGAAUAUAUUUAACUAUUGCAAAAGAAGGAAGAAGAUAAAUGCGGACUGAAUAUUAACAAGAAUCCGAAGCUUGUUUAUCCUUGCUAAAAUAUGGUCCAGCAAUCAGCCUGUUUCGAGAUUCACUUCAUCUAUUUUUGGAGAAAAGAUUCAGCACUCUUACUUUUUCAGGAUUAGAAUAUAUCAUGGGCUUCUUCUGAUGCUUGAGUUAGCAACCACUAGAUACUCAAAGUCAAGAUAUCAAUAUCCCGGUAUUGAAGAAGGUAGUUUGAUAGCACAUAUGCCUGUAACGAGUCUUCAUCACUAUACAAGGGUUGUGGCCGGUCAAAUCAGUCAACUUUAAUACUAGAGUUGAAGUGUUUAAUCCAGGCAUUCUUGGAUGCAGAUUCCUCCAAUAUUCCUUCUUCGACGUAAGUUCCAACUCAAACGAUGGAAGCUUAAGCGCUAAUGAAAGAGGAGGCUUCUCUUAACGUGUCAAAACCCCUCAGCUUAAUUCAGUAAUCUUGAUCCCAUUGUGGGGCUACUUGAUGCUGAAAUGGUACUAUCUAUCAAGUGUCAAGUCAAGCUUUGAAACAACAAGUAUAGAAAACUCUACAAAAAGAGGCAUGGUCCAGGAUAUAUAUAGCUUUAAAUUGUAUGGGUCUUGGGGAAACUAUAUCUCAAAAAUGGAAUAUGAUUAAAGAUGGAGUAUGAUUAGACUUCUUUAGAUAUGUAGAUUCAAGAAGCACGAUGUGAUGGAAUCUGAUUCAAUUUUUACAUGUAAUUGUAAGUCAAAGCUGGUUUUUUA